rnacentral:lncRNA from 1 species
GGCCGCCAUAUUGGAUCCCAUUGGCAGCCAUAUUGGGCGCCAUCUUGGAUCCCAUUGGCAGCCAUAUUGGAUCUCAUUGGCUGCCAUCUUGGAUCCCAUUGGGCGCCAUAUUGGAUCCCAUUGGGCGCCAUAUUGGAUCCCAUUGGGCGCCAUAUUGGGCGCCAUAUUGGAUCCCAUUGGGUGCCAUAUUGGAUCCCAUUGGGUGCCAUCUUGGAUCCCAUUGGCCACCAUAUUGGAUCCCAUUAGCCGCCAUAUUGGAUCCCAUUAGCCGCCAUAUUGGAAUCCAUUGGCCGCCAUAUUGGGCGCCAUAUUGGAUCCCAUUGGGCGCCAUAUUGGAUCCCAUUGGGGUUCCCAUUGGGCGCCAUAUUGGAUCCCAUUGGGCGCCAUAUUGGAUCCCAUUGACCGCUAUAUUGGGCACCAUAUUGGAUCCCAUUGGGUGCCAUAUUGGAUCCCCUUGGCUGCCAUAUUGGAUCCCAUUGGCCGCCAUAUUGGGCGCCAUCUUGGAUCCCAUUGGCUGCCAUAUUGGAUCCCAUUAGCCGCCAUAUUGGGCGCCAUAUUGCAUCCCAUUGGGCGCCAUCUUGGAUCCCAUUGGGCGCCAUCUUGGAUCCCACUGGCCGCCAUCUUGGAUCCCAUUGGCCGCCAUCUUGGAUCCCAUUGGCCGCCAUAUUGGAUUGACCCAUUGUGGUUCCCAUUUGUAGGGUCCCCCCCUCGCCCCCCAUAUCCCAACCCCAUAACCGUGACCCCACUGCUGCCCCAU